UACGGAGGGAGCUAGCGUUGUUCGGAAUUACUGGGCGUAAAGCGCGCGUAGGCGGCUUUGUAAGUUAGAGGUGAAAGCCCGGAGCUCAACUCCGGAACUGCCUUUAAGACUGCAUCGCUUGAAUCCGGGAGAGGUGAGUGGAAUUCCGAGUGUAGAGGUGAAAUUCGUAGAUAUUCGGAAGAACACCAGUGGCGAAGGCGGCUCACUGGACCGGUACUGACGCUGAGGUGCGAAAGCGUGGGGAGCAAACAGG
rnacentral:rRNA from 1 species